rnacentral:lncRNA from 1 species
GAAGGGACCAAAGGGGCUAUGGCAGCUGGGAACCGGAGCCAGAAAUCUGAGAACCAGGGAGGUGAGUGCAAAAAUAGUAGGUCCAGGGUGAACAGGGUUGGUUUAGAACAUGUGUUGCCUGUGGCUCACUCUGGUGGGCCAGCUGGGCGUGGUGGGAGUGUGGAUCUGCUAAAUUUAAAGGGCCAGAACAGACACCACUGUGCAGGAGACUGUGCAUGUGUUUUAGCCUGGGAACCUCUUAUGAUAGCUCAGGCUGAGUCCAAGAAGGUCUAAGCAUGGUUUGCCCUGAACCUGGAGCUGGGAAAGCAGACCAAGUCUAAAUGGGAGGGGCAGGCAGUGUUGGAGAUAAGGACAAGCCGUGAUGGGUGCUUGGGUGGAGGGACAAGUCUGGGCGCUGGGCCCUGGGCACCGUGGGGCUUACAUGCUCAGGCCUGCAGGAGUGAGUGAAUAGUGCUGGGGGAGACAGAGGCAGAUGAGUCACAAUCCCAGAUGUGAGCAGAUGCUCUGGGCAGAUUUGGGCUGCUUGUCAGCAAAUUUGACCACAGCCUGGAUGGGCUGUCAGGCUCAGGCCACCGGCCCCACUCCCAGCACAGAGAAAGCCUAAGAACGCACUCCUCUGUGAGCGAUCACUCUUUGAAAUGUUUCAUAGCCCUAUAUGGAACCACAUCUGGGAGAGUAAAUGUAUUUUCUGAGCCAGGCUUUACAAGUUGAUUUUAUGACGCAUCUAGGCAGAAGAUGAAACGCCCCAGUCAUUAACUCACUUCCCCUUGUGGGUGAAUUCCACAAUACGUUUUUCAUCUGAGCUGUGGAACAAGUUUCUCUAGCACACACAGACCUGUCUGUCAGUGGACAUUUGGCUGCUCAGAUAAAUCCUUCGCUCUUCAGAGGCUGUCCCUGGUUCACCCCUCAGGCCACGUGCUCUCUCUUGCAGGCAACUUUGCUGGCUCUUCCUGGAACAGGCCAAAACACAGGGAUGAAGUUCUGUGGAUAAGGCUGCCUGUGUCAGAGGGGCCUUGAGCACACAUUCGGAUUCUUAACCACCAGCUUACCAGAUAGCUUGCUGUGUCCGUGUGUGUGUGUGUGUGUGUGUGUGUGUGUGUGUGUCCUUUAAAAUUCUAGCUUAAUGGCCACAUGUUUUAGGCCACUUCUGUCCUCCUAAAAUAGGGCUCUGAGCACGUCUCCAAAGGAGGGCCCCUGAAGCACAAGCAGUGGGCCGGCUGCCAGGGCUGGCAGAAUGAGACACAGUACUUGAAAUAAAUGCAGGGUGUUUGCUUACAGAUUCUUUACCACAUCAUGGAUGAGUCAGAUGACUUCUCACCCCAGAUUCUGUUUUUACCCUUUUUCCUACUCAGAGCUAGGGGUGGGAGGAUUGUGUAAAGUUUAAAAUAUAUCCCCAAAUUAUAUACUUCUGUCUUUUGAGUUUUAACAUACAAUAGGGAUCCUUUCAUUCUUCGACGCGGUCGAGAAUUAUGUUUAACUUUUCCUGUUUCAUUCUGUUUUAAUUCAUACCUGGUUGUGGAAAGAGCAGUGGGUUGGAAGUUGAGAGACCUAGGAUCAAGUCUCUGCUAGUUAGUAGCUCUGGGAUUUGGGGCAAGUCAGUCCACCUGUCUGAGCUGCGGUUUCCUUACUGACAACAUGGACUGUCAGUUCCCCGUGGAGGCUAUGAGCUUGCACUGGGAAGGAACAGCUUUCCCCAUUCAGUGGCCCUGGUUUUCUGAGCCCCUGCCCUUCACUUGGGGUUGCUUGUCAUGACAGCAAGUUAGAUCACUCAUGGAAGUGUUUUGAAAACUAACAUGCUACAUUCUUGUGAGGGAUAAUUAUUACUAUGUGCCAUGCCAAAAACAAAACAAAAAAAAUCCUUUUCUUUUCUUCAGCCUUCUUCACACUCAACUUAGCCUCAUCUGUGGCUAGAGCUUCUUCAGUAUUCCAGGCAAAUCCCUUCUCUCUGGCUUUCUGAGGCUGACCUAACCCCCAACUCCACUCAUAACACCUCUGCGUCUGCUUCUGCUACUUCUUUUUUUUUUUUUUCAGGGUCGUCCGUAUGUUCUUUUAUUAUUUAUUUAUUCAUUUCAUAGUAGUAACAUAUAAGA